rnacentral:rRNA from 1 species
AGUGAACGCUGGCGGUAGGCCCAACACAUGCAAGUCGAACGGCAGCACAGUAAGAGCUUGCUCUUACGGGUGGCGAGUGGCGGACGGGUGAGGAAUACAUCGGAAUCUACUUUUUCGUGGGGGAUAACGUAGGGAAACUUACGCUAAUACCGCAUACGACCUACGGGUGAAAGCAGGGGAUCUUCGGCUCUUGCGCGAUUGAAUGAGCCGAUGGCGGAUUAGCUAGUUGGCGGGGUAAAGGCCCACCAAGGCGACGAUCCGUAGCUGGUCUGAGAGGAUGAUCAGCCACACUGGAACUGAGACACGGUCCAGACUCCUACGGGAGGCAGCAGUGGGGAAUAUUGGACAAUGGGCGCAAGCCUGAUCCAGCCAUACCGCGUGUGUGAAGAAGGCCUUCGGGUUGUAAAGCCCUUUUGGUGGGAAAGAAAAGCAGCAGGUUAAUACCCCGCUGUUCUGACGGUACCCAAAGAAUAAGCACCGGCUAACUUCGUG